GGAUUUAUGUGUCUCGAGAUGAA
rnacentral:siRNA from 1 species